GCCUAACACAUGCAAGUCGAACGAAGGCUUCGGCCUUAGUGGCGCACGGGUGCGUAACGCGUGGGAAUCUGCCCUUGGGUUCGGAAUAACAGUUAGAAAUGACUGCUAAUACCGGAUGAUGUCGUAAGACCAAAGAUUUAUCGCCCAAGGAUGAGCCCGCGUAGGAUUAGCUAGUUGGUGGGGUAAAGGCCCACCAAGGCGACGAUCCUUAGCUGGUCUGAGAGGAUGAUCAGCCACACUGGGACUGAGACACGGCCCAGACUCCUACGGGAGGCAGCAGUGGGGAAUAUUGGACAAUGGGCGAAAGCCUGAUCCAGCAAUGCCGCGUGAGUGAUGAAGGCCUUAGGGUUGUAAAGCUCUUUUACCCGGGAUGAUAAUGACAGUACCGGGAGAAUAAGCUCCGGCUAACUUCGUGCCAGCAGCCGCGGUAAUACGAGGGGAGCUAGCGUUAUUCGGAAUUACUGGGCGUAAAGCGCACGUAGGCGGCUUUGUAAGUUAGAGGUGAAAGCCCAGAGCUCAACUCUGGAAUUGCCUUUAAGACUGCAUCGCUUGAAUCCAGGAGAGGUGAGUGGAAUUCCGAGUGUAGAGGUGAAAUUCGUAGAUAUUCGGAAGACACCAGUGGCGAAGGCGGCUCACUGGAC
rnacentral:rRNA from 1 species